AAACCAACAGGGAUUGCCUCAGUAGCGGCGAGUGAAGCGGCAAGAGCUCAGAUUUGAAAUCGUGUUUCGGCACGAGUUGUAGAGUGUAGGCGGGAGUCUCUGUGGAGCGCGGUGUCCAAGUCCCUUGGAACAGGGUGCCUGAGAGGGUGAGAGCCCCGUGGGGUGCUGCGCGAAGCUUUGAGGCCCUGCUGACGAGUCGAGUUGUUUGGGAAUGCAGCUCUAAGCGGGUGGUAAAUUCCAUCUAAGGCUAAAUACUGGCGAGAGACCGAUAGCGAACAAGUACUGUGAAGGAAAGAUGAAAAGCACUUUGAAAAGAGAGUGAAACAGCACGUGAAAUUGUUGAAAGGGAAGGGUAUUGGGCCCGACAUGGGGAGUGCGCACCGCUGUCUCUUGUAGGCGGCGCUCUGGGCGCUCUCUGGGCCAGCAUCGGUUCUUGCUGCGAGAGAAGUGGCGCCGGAAAGUGGCUCUUCGGAGUGUUAUAGCCGGUGCCGGAUGUCGCGUGCGGGGACCGAGGGCUGCGACAUCUGUCUCGGAUGCUGGCACAACGGCGCAAUACCGCCCGUCUUGAACCAC
rnacentral:rRNA from 1 species